GCCAUCAUUCAGUUGGGCACUCUAGGGAGACUGCCGGUGAUAAGCCGCGAGGAAGGUGUGGAUGACGUCAAGUCCUCAUGGCCCUUACGGGAUGGGCUACACACGUGCUACAAUGGCGGUGACAGUGGGAACGCGAAGGAGCGAUCUGGAGCAAAUCCCCAAAAGCCGUCUACAGUUCGGAUUGCACUCUGCAACUCGAGUGCAUGAAGGCGGAAUCGCUAGUAAUCGUGGAUCAGCAUGCCACGGUGAAUACGUUCCCGGGCCUU
rnacentral:rRNA from 1 species